AUGCCUCUCCACUGUAAGCCUCCUGCAACCCUCAGCCCUACCUUCCACUUUGGGCUUUGCCUCAGCCAGCCGCUCCUGGAAUUUCUUCUUGAAGAAGAGGGCUUGCAGUCGCUGCUGGUAGUGGUCAAUCCUGUAGACAAGGAGGUCAAUGUCGCUCUUCUCUGGGAUGAACUUGAGGAGCUGCAAAGAGCAGGCGCAAGUCACACAAGCAACUGACAGGAUCUCACUAUGUAGCCCUGGCUGGUCUUCACCUCGUGAGCUCAAGCGAUGCUCUCACUUCAGCCUCCAAAAGUGCUGAGAUUACAGGUUUCCCAAAGGAUCCAAAAAAAACAAAAACAAAAACAAAAACUGAGGGGGAAGAGAUUUGGGGAAGAUAUCACUAUUCCUCAUCUGACUUUGCCUUGGGAGCCAUGGGAGAACGACUCCUGGAGAACACGCAACCUUUUCCAGCUUUCCCCAAGAAGGGCUGGCCCAGGGGGGUUUCUAUAAACCU